CUCUGCACCCCAUUGUUCCCCCCUCGCUCCCCCAGGCCUUCUCCACACUAAAAAUGGUAUUCUCAAGUAUAUCAUUAAAGUAUCUUUAAGAAAGGUAUGUCUUUAAAAGAUAUUUAUGGAAUUUAACAGAAGGACCUUGGAGAACCCAGCAAGGAAAUUGCAAAUGGAUCUCUGAAGGAUGGAUGGGACUGUGGCAGGCAGAGACAGGCUCGUUGAGGACGCCGAAGGAACAGUGCGGUCGAGGACCCGGGAUGAGAAACGGAAGGAGUGUUGUGGGAACACCAGGAUGUCGGUCUGGGAAGGUGAGCCAGGGCCCUGGUUCCGAAGGCUAACCUGACCCCUUUGUCAUUGGCUGGCUGCGAAGAACCGCUGGACCUUGAACCGUGGGGAUCUCCUGUGGUACCUCCCAGCGGCUGACUCCAAGAGGAAGACUUAAGGGUAAGUGAGCCCAGAUGAUGCUGUCCUGCAAGGUCAGCCCUGGAGAAGGGUGGAGAGUGGACCUGGAGGAACAAAGCAGAAUUAUCUAGCAGUUGGCGUGAUUGGGAAAGUGUCACUUUACAUAGAAGAAAACUCUGGCCAGAGAACUGAGCCGACCUGACCUUUAUGUAGUGACAGAACUGCCUGGAACAAGGCCAAGAAAGUUACAGCUGAAGACUCAGGACACUUGUGUGGCCAGUUGGUUCACCCAACCCUCUACCCAAACAGUUGCUUGAUGGGAAAAUCAAUCUCCCCUUAACUCGAAAGGAUGAAGGAGAAGACAGUUAGCACUUGUUAACAAGCUGUUUAUUACAGUGAUCAACGGGGGGCAUCCUGUGAUGUGUUUCUCCUCUAUCAGUACUUUCCCGUAGGCGACUUAAAAAUCUCUGCAUAAAGAACAGACCUCACCUCUUUCUGCCAAACUCCCAACUGCAACAAACACAGAGAAAACCAAAACCAAACCAUAGGCCACCGGAAACUGGGUAGUGUUACUGUCAGGUCGCAGGCCAGGGCCCGAGGCAGAAACUGAGAGCCCUGGCGAGCAACUGGUCACACAGGACCCGAGAUCAGGAUACAGGGGGCAGGCCCUGUUGUGCCCCCAGAGAUCACACCAAAGGCAGUGGAGAAAGUGCCAGGGUUCAAGGGCACCAUCCGGUUGACCAGGGAAAGACCGAAAUACCAGAUCUGAGCAGAAAGGAGAUAUAGCCACGUGCCGAGCUUGCAAAUUAACCUCUGCAUGCCCACAAAAACAGUGUUAUCUAGUAGCCAUACUGAAAACAGAAAAGGAACAGGUGAAAUUAAAUGUAAUAUAUUUUAUGUUUUCUUGAACUCGGUAUAUCAAAGUGUUACCGUUUCAACUUGUAAUCAACAGGACUGAUGUCGUUUACAACGAUCCCUUUUUUCCCUACCAAAUCUUCAAGAUGUGGGGUGUGUUCCGUAGCACGUCUCCAUCCGGACUAGCCCCAUGUCAAGGGCUCAGUGGCCCAUGUGGCUAGUGGCUUCUGUGUCGGGCAGCACAGGCUUGGAGAAAACCAUACUUAACAUUUUGACAUUAAAGUGUUUUGCCUGUA